ensembl:ncRNA lncRNA:CR45662 long non-coding RNA:CR45662
UUAACCUUUUUACGCUACUUGAAAUUAUGUUAUUUAAAAUUGAAAAACAGUAUAUAAUAUGUAUAAUUUUCCCCACAACGACCGUUUUCACUCGGAUUGCUCAUUCGAAAUGCGUAGAAGAACAUGAAAACAUUUAAAUAAUACACUCCCGAACACUUGAACACAUGGUCGCACUCGUUCCCUCUCCCAAAUCCGUCAGAUACUUUACAAUAGCGCUACCCGAACCGCGCGAUACAUUUACAUUAGCAGGCCGUUUAGUGCUGUUGUCUCUGAAUUUCAUUACCAUUUUUCCCCCCAUUUGCUUUCUUGAUAAUAUUCGAGAGUCUGGUAAUGUUUACAUUUUGUGCAUUUGUGUUUCGGGUAUUUUGUAUUUUCGAGUUGCGCUAGUAGCAAACAUUUGGAAAAUCGAGCAGAGCGAACUUCUGAAUGGAAUAGAAUUGUAUACAAUGUGGAAAUAA